ACAAUAUUAUAAAGUAAUUAUGUUUUCUUUUGUUGGGCAGAUGGGGUGGAUGAAAGCUUCAAAAAAUCAAUACCAAUAAAUUCUCUGUAGGUUGUAAUAAGUAUUCCUUUUUCAUGGAAAACAAAUUUAAACUCUAACUUGUUUUUAUGUUGAUGGUGAUGUCGUGAUUAAAUUGAGUUAAAUCUAAAUGUGCCUAUUAUGUUUUUAGGCAAAAGAAACAUUUCAUGAUUAUUAGAUUCACUUAGUUGAGGGAACUACAGUAGGUCCAAAUCUCGACCUAAUUUUUAAUUUUUUGAUUUGAAACUUAAACUUA
rnacentral:lncRNA from 1 species